rnacentral:rRNA from 1 species
UCGCGUCAGGAUAUGCCUAGGUGGGAUUAGCUAGUUGGUGAGGUAAGGGCUCACCAAGGCGACGAUCCCUAGCUGGUCUGAGAGGAUGAUCAGCCACACUGGAACUGAGACACGGUCCAGACUCCUACGGGAGGCAGCAGUGGGGAAUAUUGCACAAUGGGCGCAAGCCUGAUGCAGCCAUGCCGCGUGUGUGAAGAAGGCCUUCGGGUUGUAAAGCACUUUCAGUCGUGAGGAAGGUAGUGUAGUUAAUAGCUGCAUUAUUUGACGUUAGCGACAGAAGAAGCACCGGCUAACUCCGUGCCAGCAGCCGCGGUAAUACGGAGGGUGCGAGCGUUAAUCGGAAUUACUGGGCGUAAAGCGCAUGCAGGUGGUUUGUUAAGUCAGAUGUGAAAGCCCGGGGCUCAACCUCGGAAUUGCAUUUGAAACUGGCAGACUAGAGUACUGUAGAGGGGGGGUAGAAUUUCAGGUGUAGCGGUGAAAUGCGUAGAGAUCUGAAGGAAUACCGGUGGCGAAGGCGGCCCCCUGGACAGAUACUGACACUCAGAUGCGAAAGCGUGGGGAGCAAACAGGAUUAGA